AAGUGUGCGCCAGAGCGCAGCGUCGCCGGCCAUUUCUCUUCACCCCCCCCCUCUUCCCCACUCCACUACGCCGCGAGUCUCUCUCGGACUUGUGCCCUAUGUCCGUUCAGGCCUUCUUCGAGUUCUCCAGUAGUAUUCUGAGCCCCAAGUAUGUAGGACUGUCACCGUUCCACGCGCCCAAAGAGUCGCGGCUUGACACGAGCCCGCCUGGGGUUCUCUCCUCCAUGUGCGAGUACACAAUAUGCACGAAGCGCGCACUCAACACGCGCAUCAUCGGAUUUGCUGAGCCGACGCUGCAGCAGUGCGUCGAGGAGCUCGCACGUGCUUUGAAGGCCACCGCCUUUAUACAAGACAAGGACGCGACGUCGGCGUUGCUGCGGCAGAGGCGGGGCACAGUCGACCCGUCGCAGCUGCCGUGGUCGCCAAGACCCGAGUAUCUCGCAUGGCUGCGAGCCCAGGGCCGCCUUGACGAGACCAUGCUGUUAUGACCGUGAGCGACGCAGGAGGCCGCAUCACUCCGAGUGCGCUCCAUUCUGUCCUCUCUCGUACGCGCUUCUAUCGGAACGCGUGGGCGUGCGUACGUGUCUCUGCAACUCGCGCGAAAAUGAGGGGGCGAUCGGUCUUACCCUGCAUCCGCUUUUUCUUUUGGUCCGCCUCCACUCCAGUGCACUCGCCUGCUUCCCUUGUCCCUCUCGCACGUGGGUCGUUGUUGCUGUGGAGGGACGGGCCUCGAAGGACGGGUAGCGUGCCCUCUCCCUCUUCUUUUCCUUGCCUCUCUACGUUGCUCAUGACCCUUCAUCAACUGAAGGUUGCGGUGGAGGACGAGCAGCGAAGGAAUCACAUCAGCACGUUUUGCGCGCACGCUAAAGCAAGCAAUAUCAAGGAAAGGAACACCAUGAUGCGAUGGGCGCGAGACACGGUUGUUUUGGACGUGUACCUAUGCUGCGUGCUCCUGGGCCGCUCCGCUACUGUCCCCUCUUGCCCAGCCCUCCAGGGCAGCAGUUUGGGAAGAGGGCAGAGCAUACGGAGAAUACCAUGCGCGUUUGUAUGCCUCCCUGUCUCGGAUU
rnacentral:misc_RNA from 1 species